CUUUAAUCGAUAACCCACGCUAGACCUCUCCCACACUUGUACCAUCAGCCUAUAUACCUCCGUCGCCAGCCCGCCUGAUAACAGACACCAAGCGAGUACAAUAGCCUAACCACUAACACGACAGGUCAAGGUGUAGCUAAUGUGUGGGCUGUAAUGGGCUACAUUUUUUAUUAUAAAACAAACCCGAGUGUUAUGAAAACCCCACGAAAAGGUGGAUUUAGCAGUAAGCAAGGAUUAGCACGCCAACCUGAAACCUGCCCUGAG
rnacentral:rRNA from 1 species